CAACUUGAUGUUUCUUUCUGAAUCUAUGAGU
rnacentral:piRNA from 1 species